AACUUCAAAAGGUGCUAUUAUUGACAAUUGCCCAUAAUAGAAUCCAGAUGUUUUUUUGUUAAAAAGAAAAGAAAUCAAGAUGUUAAAGUCUCCGUAUAGCUUACAUGCAUAUAUCUUUAUAUAUAAAAGAAGGUUUGUAUCCCUCCCAGGUAUGCCACAUGGGAUGACAGCUUGGAAAUUCGAAGCCUGUGAGCAUGACACGUGUCCCGCAUCCAAAAACGCAUCACUUCAUUUAUUCUAAAAAUAUGACGGGUUGCGUUAUGUGUUUGGGCUUUGUGUUUUCUGAUGAAACUCAGCCCAAAGUCAAAUGACGUAAGCCUCUCCAGCCGUGUUUCUUCAGAAUUUAGGGUUCAUCACGUUUUUUGUUCUACGCCGUUCGAAAGCUUGAGAUGCUGGACUCGAUGUGAGGAAUAGUUCUAUUCGAUAGAUUUUGAUCGCGUCGUUUGAUCUUCCAGGAUGGUGUAUAAGACGAAUUGUCAUGAGGCAUCCCUGGUCGAGUUUCACUGGUAUCGUUUCAUUUGAGGUUCUUCUCCUCUGAAACUAGGCGAUCCUUCUUCCAUCGACACAUACUCCUCGAUUCUAAGGUGAUUUACAGGAGACAUGGCCAGAGCCAUAACUGUGAACUCCUUCAGAUCUUACUCUGUCCGACAGAUCUUCCGAGCAUCUCACGGUUUCGGUGAUUCUUGCUUGGCUUAACAACGGCGGCAGUGAAGAUGGCGGUUCUUGCUUGGCUCAAAGGCGGGGAUUGGAGCAUGGUGAAUCGAGAGUGGUUCGGGCAGGACGAGGUUUGGCUUAAAGCUCCGACGAGGCGAUGCUGCUAAUAGUGACGUCCAAUGAUUAUGGUGCUUACUCUGAACAUUACCAGGAUCCUUCUGAUAUAUCUACAGGUUUGUUCAGUGGGCUCAGCGAGCAAUCGAUACAUCACAUGUUGAAGCAGAGAGUAAUGAGAAUGGUAUUGGUUUUGGCAAGCUUAUGGAUGUUACAGUGGAUUCAUAGCGAUGUAUAACAUAAGCUAGCGGAGAUGUCAAUUGCUCAUUACUCUUGAGUCAGCAUUUUUUCUCGAAUGGAAAAUGUGGACUCUUGGAGUUCAUUGAGAAACGGAUCAAGGUGAAUGGUCACAAGGUGAUUGUUCUUGCUGAAGAAGCAGAGCGAGAAUUGAUGUGCAAAAGCAUGGAAUCUAACAGACGCCUCUGAUAACAAGCUUCUUAAAGAUGUCGCUUUUGGCUAGAGCCAUAAAGCAUCAAGAAAUGGAGGGAGCAGCUCUACAGUUUGAGAUCUAUUGGAGUUGGUAAGUGAAGAAUUCCCACAAAAGGGGUUUCUUGAUGAUGUUGCAUCCGCUGCUCAAACCAAAUCACCAGAACUACUCCAAAACACAUUCAAAGCUAAAUUUACUCAGGGGAAAAUAGAUCAAGGAUAAAUAGAUUCGGGAAAAUGACAGUGGCUUUUACACCGGUGGCCCAUUUCCUCUUUGUAUCUGGGAUGACCAUACUGUCUACUAAGGUGUGCGUUGGUGGUGAUAAAAAGGAGAAAGAAGCAACUCUUACAAAAACUUCAUUUGGUUUCAUGACCAAAAACUCUCAGGACACAUUAUUUUCCAAGUUCACCAAGAAGGCAUCCAUCGCAUAGGUUUUACGAGGAUGAAAUAUGUGCCAUAUUAGUAUCUAUUUGAAUAAUGCUUACGGAUCAAUAUCAUACCUUUUAUCUACUCUGCUAUGUUUUCUUCAAAUAUUAUUAUAGAUUAUGUUUAAGUUUGAACUUAUGGUUAUAUAUUACUCCUAAGUCAUUCAAACAAAGUUUCAUAUAUGUACUCAAAAUGUCAAUCCAUUAAUUUUUUUUUUAAAA